rnacentral:rRNA from 1 species
GGACUACUCGGGUAUCUAAUCCCGUUCGCUCCCCUAGCUUUCGCACAUGAGCGUCAGAUGCGAUCCAGGACGCUGCCUUCGCCUUCGGUGUUCUUCCAGAUCUCUACGCAUUUCACCGCUCCACCUGGAAUUCCGCGUCCCUCUCUCGCCCUCAAGUCUUCCAGUUUUCCAAGGCCUGCAGGAGUUAAGCCCCUACCUGUCACUCGAAACUUGAAAGACCGCCUGCGUGCGCUUUACGCCCAGUAAAUCCGGACAACGCUUGCCCCCUACGUAUUACCGCGGCUGCUGGCAC